UUCAGGAUUCCCUCGAGGCUGAGAGACGCGGGUGCGAUACGUCGACCCCCCUCCGGGGCCGGGACCCGGCGAGGGUUAGAGCAGGAGGGAGGGGUGCGGCUGCCACUCGGAGAGGUUGUCAGACGUGGGCUGGCGCCGCAGAAGGGGGCCCGAGCCGCGCUGUAGGACGUCAUCGCCGUGGAAGCGACUCGACCUCUGACACCUGCAGCACUCGCUGUAGCUCAGGAAGGACUUGUAGUCCGACAAUAAUAACCUGUAUUUUAGUGCUUAGCUUCCAGACACACACAAACAUACACGCAUGCACAUGCAAUUCAAAUAAAAAUGUAUAUAAAAGUGAAAAAUAAAUUAUAUGCCAUAAUAAGAUAUAAAUUACAUUUAUUUAUUUCCUGGACACUAAAUUACAAGCAUUCUUGACUUUUUGGUAGCCCCGCUAAAUACGAUUAGCCUGAUUUUCAGCUCUUGGCUGCAAGACAGAACGGUGUGUUGUGAUGCAAAAUGGCUUCCAGCCAGGAUUCUGUCUGCGCAGUUUCUUUUAACCAAGUUUGAUUUUGGCAACAUCAAGGCGGAGAUUUAGUGGUAUUAUAACGUGAAACAUAUUUAAGGUAAUUGAUGGUUUUUAUCAAAUCAAAUAGCCAGAUGAAGGGCCAUUGCUAAGUACCCUUCCAGUGUAUGUAAAGUAUAUUCUUUUGUAAUUAUAUCGCGGAAAAUUGCAGCGGAGGAAAUAAAUUUGAAUCAAACUGCAGGCACAAUGAAAUAUGAGUACUGGAAAGGAAAAUGGAUUUGGUUGUUGAACCUAACAGUUACAGAAUCCAGCCAGCUGAGAUCUAAGUACCGCUUUCUUCCCUGUGAACUUCUUUCACUUUAUUGCUUCUGAUGAUAAAACAUUUUAACCCCCUUGGACCCCAUUCAGAGAAAUAAUGCCUAAGCUUAAUAUUAAUUAAGUAUUACAUCUGCAUACAUAUUUGACAAAACUGAAACUGUCAUUCAGCAAUAAAGAAUUUUCUCUGGCAAAAAUGACAAUGAAUCCAUAAAUAAAUUAAUAUAUGAAUUCUCUUAAGAGCAUAACAUUGCAGGUGUGGCUGCAUGUGUUUAUUGAUCGCAUGGGUCAAGUAUGUAGGAAUUGGCCAAAUAUCAUAAAUGUAGUUAUUUUUAUACUGAUAUCUUGACCCCUCUGACUUCCUGAGCAGAAGUUACAAGUGACUCAUUGCACUGGCUAUUUCACGAGAGAUCUAAUGGUUAUUAUGGGUUUCUGCUGGCAGCGAGGCCCCACCCACUCCGCUCCUGCAAGGCCAGACCUCCCCUUUCCCACUGGGUUCUUAAUCUGGUUUGGGGGACUGAAGGGGUGAGUCUCAGUCUUGGCUCCGGCCUCUGUUAGUUUGGGGGAGGGUUAAGGCGAGAAGGCCCCCGACACAGCAUGAAAGGUGACCUGGCACACUGGCAGCCGUCCAGUUCAGGUGCAGCUUAUCCUCACCCCACAAAUACUAUACGGCACUUUCAGGGCCCCGAUCACCCAAUUAAACAUGGCCGGUUGACCCCGGUCAGGGAGGCGGAGCCUCUGAGCCCCCGGUACCGCAGAGAGGACCACCUGUCACUCCUCAGAUCAAAUGAAAUCCUGAAGAGACAGAACUCCCCAUGAACACAGAACACACCUCCUAAAUCUCUCUCCCCGGCACCGGCGGGGGGCUUUCUGCCUUUUCUUCUUCUAAAUGUCAUUAUUGUAAUGCUGUAAUCCAGGCAUGCGCUUAUCAAACAAAAAGAGCCGCCACACAUUAAAACCGCCGUUGUUGUUGUCGACUCCGUCAUCAUGGCCGCUGUCGUCGCCGCUGCCGCUCACGGCUGCAGUUAACCACAAUGACAGCGCUCUCUUUUUCGGAAUAUGGAUGGAAAGCGAAGGGAAUAGAAAGAACUGUUGCUAUGAUUGUAAAUAUAACCUUAGAGGGACCCGAAAAGGACUGCAGGUAAUGCAUUUUAGCAAGCGUUGUCCUGCGUUAGCUGUAGUUUCUCGGCACAGAGUGGUGUUAGCUAAUCAAUUUCGGAGAAAUUAGCGAGAGAGACAGCAGAAGAGCCCAGGUGAGCACAGGGAUCCCGGACGCAGCCUCCAGCUCGAGUAACGGAUCAGGACCUACUCGCGAUUCCUGCUCGUCUGCCAGCCUGUGAGUUGACGGCGUUGGCGGGCGCCUCCGUCCCGUUCCGUGGAGAGCGUGCAGCCCCAGGUUAUUUACAGUGGCCUGCUGCGUUCUCAGCUCUCUAUUGCAGGGGGAUAAAAAAAAGCUGAUAAUCCCUCAGCGGUAAUGUCAUGCUGGCUUGCUGGACGCAGAUGAAAGUCACCACAGCAUCACCCAGGGGAGUGUUUAAACAUGGCCGCCUAUUUGAACAAGCCGCACACGAGGGCUCAUUCUCAAUCAAAGGCCACGACCCUGCAGUCAUCAGCCAUUUAACCCCUGACCCCUCUGAGGCAGCCUGGACGGCUGACUGCCUGCAUGAAUGUCCUGGACACCUUCCAAUCCAGCCGCCUCUGCUCUGCAGACAGUCUCGUAUUUGAUCUAACCAGUAUGUUCACUCAGCUAACUUCAUAGCUAACAGGUGCAUGUUUCAAUGCUGCGUUUUUCCACACCCUCUCUGAAUGCUUUUAUUGUGGUCUGCUGGAGUCCCUUAGCAUGCCAGUUGCUAACUGAUGAUGUAAAUAAUUCCUUGAGUGAUUCCAUACCAGCAGAGUAUGCCGGCCAUAACUACCCUACAUUAACUUUCUCAGAUGGCACUUAUAGUUUUUGUCCUUAAAACUUUAUAUUAUUAUAAUAACCUUAUAGUGAAGCUACUCACAUUGAGUGCCUGGCACAGGUGUGUGACAACAGAGCUGUUCGUAGAAGCGUAAUCUUCACGUCCAAAGUCCAAGUCUUUAACUGCUGCCCUACCUGUUUCCUCAAACUUCACUAGUAGCCUUUGUUAGCCCUCAUCCAAGCAAAGUGGGACUGUAGGGGAUUCAGGGUUAUAGGAAAAAGAAUAGGAACUAGGAACAAAUAAGAGGGAAAUCAGAAUGAAAGGGAAGAGUAUAUAUAUAAAAAUACAGGUAGCCAUGAAGCAAAUUUAGUUCAAGGUUCACAAAAUGAAUAAACAGAAAUAUAGAAAUGAAAGUGGGCUGUUCAAAAUAUCUUUUAUUUUGGUGCCUAGGCAAUAACCUUGGGACAAGUUCAAGUGCUGUGUGAUAAAGUUUUUCUGCUUCUCCCUGUUAUUAACUGAAUAAUUGCGUAUAUCAUCAAUUAUGUUUUCAUUCUAAUGCUUGAAUUUAUUUGGGUGUUUUGAAAAAUUUUAAACACACGGGCUCAAAAAAAAAAACAGACUGACCUUGAAAAUGUAUGUAUGAACACAAUGAAAAUACGAAUACAUUUAAUCACUAGGUGUGUCUCGUUUUCCUUAAAUAA